rnacentral:misc_RNA from 1 species
UCCCCAUGCGAGAGUAGGCC